UACGAAGGGGGCUAGCGUUGCUCGGAAUCACUGGGCGUAAAGGGUGCGUAGGCGGCUUCUUAAGUCUGGUGUGAAAGCCCAGGGCUCAGCUCUGGAAGUGCACUAGAAACUGCAGGACUUGAGGCUGGGAGGGGCUGGUGGAAUUCCCUGUGUAGCGGUGAAAUGCGUACGAGAUGGGGGGAGAACACUCGUGGCGAAGGCGGCCAGCUAGACCAGUUCUGACACUAAGGCGCGACAGCGUGGGGAGCAAACAGG
rnacentral:rRNA from 1 species